rfam:Triticum aestivum genome assembly, contig: Triticum_aestivum_CS42_TGACv1_scaffold_080108_1DS
AUAGUACUCCCUCCGGUCUAAUUAGUUGACUUGAAUUUGUCUAAAUACGGAUGUAUCUAUACUUGUGUGGUAUCUAGAUACAUCCGUGUCUAGAUAGAUAUGGGUCAAGUAAUUUGGAACGGAGGGAGUAUGUU